UACGUAGGGCGCAAGCGUUAUCCGGAAUUAUUGGGCGUAAAGAGCUCGUAGGCGGUUUGUCGCGUCUGCCGUGAAAGUCCGGGGCUCAACUCCGGAUCUGCGGUGGGUACGGGCAGACUAGAGUGAUGUAGGGGAGACUGGAAUUCCUGGUGUAGCGGUGAAAAUGCGCAGAUAUCAGGAGGAACACCGAUGGCGAAGGCAGGUCUCUGGGCAUUAACUGACGCUGAGGAGCGAAAGCAUGGGGAGCAAACAGG
rnacentral:rRNA from 1 species